UCCAAGGGUUCCUGGGGAAGGUUGAUCCGCCCAGGGUAAGGCGGGGCCUAAGGUCAGGCCGAAAGGCGUAGCUGAUGGACAACAGGUUGCUAAUCCUGUCCCGCGAUGAGUUCGUUAUGACGAUGGAGUGACGCAGGAGGCUAGGUGCGCCGGGUGAUGGAUCCCGGUCCAAGGGAGCGGCCUGACGAGGGAGGAAAAACCCCCUUGUUAAAGGUUAGACCUGAUGGGGAGCGAACCGCGAGGGGAGCGAAGGUAUUGAAGCCAGGCUGCCAGGAAAAGCUUCUAAGGAGAACUCAUAGCGCCCGUACCCGAAACCGACACAGGUGGACUGGCUGAGGAGGCUAAGGUGAGCGGGAGAACUAUCGUUAAGGAACUCUGCAAGUUGACCCCGUAACUUAGGGAGAAGGGGUGCCACAGGGGUGAAGAUGAACAAUUGGAGCCUAAUGUGGUCGCAGAAACCAGGCACAGGCGACUGUUUACUAAAAACACAGGACUCUGCAUAAGGCGUAAGCCGAAGUAUAGGGUCUGACACCUGCCCGGUGCUGGAAGGUUAACUGGAGGGGUUAGUGCCGCGAGGUGCGAAGCUCUGAAAUGAAGCCCCAGUAAACGGCGGCCGUAACUAUAACGGUCCUAAGGUAGCGAAAUUCCUUGUCGGGUAAGUUCCGACCUGCACGAAAGGUGUAACGAUCUGUGCGCUGUCUCGACGGUAGGCCCGGUGAAAUUGUGGUCCUGGUAAAGACGCCAGGUACCCGUGGUGGGACGGAAAGACCCCAUGGAGCUUUACUGUAACUUGGUAUUGGAUUUUGUCCUAUGAUGCACAGGAUAGGUGGGAGGCAUUGAUUCAAUUAUUUCGGUGAUUGAUGAGCCGUUGUUGGGAUACCACCCUUUAUAUGAUGAAAUUCUAACCCUUAGGCGUUGCAACACGCGGGGGGACAUUGCCAGGCGGGCAGUUUGACUGGGGCGGUCGCCUCCCAAAGAGUAACGGAGGCGCGCAAAGGUCACCUCAGGGCGAAUGGAAACCGCCCUAAGAGAGCGUAAGCGUAUAAGGUGGCUUGACUGCGAGACUGACGAGUCGAGCAGGGACGAAAGUCGGUGCUAGUGAUCCGGUGGUUCCGAAUGGAAGGGCCAUCGCUCAACGGAUAAAAGCUACCCUGGGGAUAACAGGCUGAUCUCGCCCGAGAGUUCCUAUCGACGGCGUGGUUUGGCACCUCGAUGUCGGCUCAUCGCAUCCUGGGGCUGAAGCAGGUCCCAAGGGUUGGUCUGUUCGCCCAUUAAAGCGGUACGUGAGCUGGGUUUAGAACGUCGUGAGACAGUUCGGUCCCUAUCCACCAUGGGCGUGAGGUAUUUGAGGAGAGCUGUUCCUAGUACGAGAGGACCGGAAUGGACGAACCGCUGGUGUACCGGUUGUGGCGCCAGCUGCAAAAGCCGGGUAGCCAAGUUCGGGAAGGAUAACCGCUGAAAGCAUCUAAGUGGGAAGCCAACUUCGAGAUGAGAUACCUGACCUUGAGAGAGGAUAAGCGGCCCGCGAGACGAGC
rnacentral:rRNA from 1 species